UAGGAUUGUGUGCUGAUUUUAUAAUUAUGAUCAAAGGAGCGAAUCUUUGACAUCGAAAUAGAAGCAAUGCAGGACACCUACAGAACCUGGGUCUAUAAAAAACCCACAUAUUGCCCUAUCAUCAUACCAAAUUGGUCAGCGGACUCAGUGAAGUAUAAAAAAGCUAUCUUCAGAUCCUUUAUAUGUAGGACAUAUACUUACUCUAUCAGUAGGAAUGAGUAUGAAGAAAAGAGAAAUUAUGUAAUAGAAAAAAGUAUAAAGCAUGGCUAUACCAAAGGUUUCAUAUAUACAGUAAAGCAGAAGGUUGAAGCCGCAAUAGAAAAUGCAUGAACAAACCCAGCUAGUGACAACGUGACACCCAUAGACAAUGGGAACACCCAUGAAGACCCAGAGAGUCUGUACACCGCAGUGCUGUACCACAUAGCCAACCUACCAGUGGUUAAGAAAGCAGCAAGAUUAACAAAUAAAAAGAUUGCCACCACGAGAAAUUCCACAGUGUUCACAUGCUUGAGAAAUAGCAAAGAUAAGUUA
rnacentral:lncRNA from 1 species